UACAGGGGGUGCAAACGUUGCUCGGAAUUACUGGGCGUAAAGGGCGCGUAGGCGGUACUUCAAGUCAGGCGUGAAAGCCCCGGGCUCAACCUGGGAACCGCGCUUGAGACUGGAGAACUAGAGUUCGGAGAGGAUGGUGGAAUUCCCAGUGUAGAGGUGAAAUUCGUAGAUAUUGGGAAGAACACCGAUGGCGAAAGGCAGCCAUCUGGACCGACACUGACGCUGAGGCGCGAAAGCGUGGG
rnacentral:rRNA from 1 species